rnacentral:lncRNA from 1 species
GGCUAUAGGGUCCAUUAUAGGCGGUUAUAUCGCGCGGGUUAGGGGUUAUAUACGCGGGUUAAUAGGGGGUUUUAUGGGGUAUAUGGAUAUAUGGGGAUAUAUGGGGAUAUAUGGGGUUAUAUGGGGUUAUAUGGGGUUAUAUGGGGUUAUAUGGGGUUAUAUGGGAUAUAUGGGGUUAUAUGGGGUUAUAUAGGGGGUAUAUGGGGUUAUAUGGGGUUAUAUGGGGUUAUAUAGGGGCUAUAGGGGUUCCAU